rnacentral:rRNA from 1 species
UACGAGAGGCCCAAACGUUAUUCGGAAUUACUGGGCUUAAAGAGUUCGUAGGCGGCGCAGAAAGUAGGGUGUGAAAGCCCUCGGCUCAACCGAGGAAUUGCGCUCUAAACUACUGUGCUUGAGGAAGCUAGAGGUGAGCGGAACUGAUGGUGGAGCGGUGAAAUGCGUUGAUAUCAUCAGGAACACCGGAGGCGAAGGCGGCUCACUGGG